CCAUUAUGUAAUCAAAUGGGAUUAAGUAUGAGUCAUUAUUAAAUAGGAAAGACUCUUAGGAAAGAAGAGGAGUUAGUCAGUGAAGCAGGAAUAAAGAAUAAUAGCAAAAUAAUGCUAUUGGGAAGAAAGACUGAUCCAGCUCAAGACGAGUGUCUCAAGAAGCUUGAUGAUAUUUCAAAAUCAACAAAUACUAUUGAGAGAAAGAUUAAGAAGAUUGAACAAGAGCUGGAGGGGAUUGAAAAGUCUGUUAGAUGUACUAGCUGACAGGAAGUCAAAAGGUGGUCUAACUGGUAUUGUGUUAGUUAAUGGAUGGCCACAACCAAAAUACUUCAAGUGUAUGAGUGGAUAGGUUGUACAGGAUGAUGUCAUCAUGGGUACUCUCUCUGUCCGUGAGAACUUGUACUUCUCAGCUGCUCUGAGACUACCCAACAGUAUGAAGUGGGCGGAGAAGAAGAGACGAGUAGUGAAAGUUAUCGGAGAGCUAGGACUAACUGGAUGUGCUGAUACUAAAGUAAUAAAAAGAGAAAGAAAUGAAAGAGAGAAAAAGAAGAUUUCUCUAAAGGAUAAAGCAUUUCUGCACUAUAAAAGCCACAAAUGCUACCUUUAGAUGCUACUAAAGUUUAGAAUGAAGUUUAUGUACAAAAUUAUUGGUUAUAGUGUUUUUAAAAUCUGUAUCCUGAAAAUCAAUGCCAUUUUUACAAACAUUUUUAUUCAAUGUAUGUGUACAUGUACUGUACAAGAUGAUUAAUUGGCAAGGAAUUCAUAUUGGCAUUUGGCAGUUCUA